rnacentral:rRNA from 1 species
GACGAACGCUGGCGGCGUGCUUAACACAUGCAAGUCGAACGGAAAGGCCCUGCUUUUGUGGGGUGCUCGAGUGGCGAACGGGUGAGUAACACGUGAGUAACCUGCCCUUGACUUUGGGAUAACUUCAGGAAACUGGGGCUAAUACCGGAUAGGAGCUCCUGCUGCAUGGUGGGGGUUGGAAAGUUUCGGCGGUUGGGGAUGGACUCUCGGCUUAUCAGCUUGUUGGUGGGGUAGUGGCUUACCAAGGCUUUGACGGGUAGCCGGCCUGAGAGGGUGACCGGCCACAUUGGGACUGAGAUACGGCCCAGACUCCUACGGGAGGCAGCAGUGGGGAAUAUUGCACAAUGGGCGGAAGCCGGAUGCAGCAACGCCGCGUGCGGGAUGACGGCCUUCGGGUUGUAAACCGCUUUCGCCUGUGACGAAGCGUGAGUGACGGUAAUGGGUAAAGAAGCACCGGCUAACUACGUG